GCAAGUCGAACGAUGAAGCCUAGCUUGCUAGGUGAAUUAGUGGCGCACGGGUGAGUAAUAUAUAGAUAACGUGCCUCUUAGUCUGGGAUAGCCAUUGGAAACGAUGAUUAAUACUAGAUACUCCUUCUCAUUAUAAUUUGAGUUGGGAAAGUUUUUCGCUAAGAGAUCGGACUAUAUCGCAUCAGUUAGUUGGUGGGGUAAUGGCCUACCAAGACAAUGACGCGUAGCGGGUUUGAGAGGAUGAUC
rnacentral:rRNA from 1 species